GACGAACGCUGGCGGCGUGCUUAACACAUGCAAGUCGAACGGAAAGGCCCUGCUUUUGUGGGGUUCUCGAGUGGCGAACGGGUGAGUAACACGUGAGUAACCGGCUCUUGACUUUGGGAUAACUUCAGGAAACUGGGGCUAAUACCGGAUAGGAUCUCCUCCUCCAUGGAGGGGGUUGGAUAUUUUCGGCGGUUGGGGAUGGACUCGCGGCUUAUCAGCUUGUUGGUGGGGGAGUGGCUUACCAAGGCUUUGACGGGUAGCCGGCAUGAGAGGGUGACCGGGCACAUUGGGACUGAGAUACGGACCAGACUGCUACGGGAGGCAGCAGUGGGGAAUAUUGCACAAUGGGCGGGAGUCUGAUGCAGAAACGCCGCGGUCGGGAUGACGGCCUUCGGGUUGUAAACCGCUUUCGCCUGUGACGAAGCGUGAGUGACGGUAAUGGGUAAAGAAGCACCGGCUAACUACGUG
rnacentral:rRNA from 1 species